GGUUUAAAUAACAUCGAAUGUAGUUAGAUUUCAGUGUAUUUAAGUGAGUUUUGACGCUUUGAAAUUUGAUAUUGUCCACAGAAAAAGUUUGCUUGGCUGCUGCACAUUUUCAUGCCAGCGAAGAAGUGUUUACUCAAACUUUGGCACAAAGUAAAUUUUUAUGCAUGCCGACUUGUGACCUCCACAUGUCUUCAUAGUGGAAGGCUUUUUUUUUUAACUGAGCAGCUGGCCACAUUUUUAACAGCAAAAACUGGUGUGUUUCCAACACUAAGCGCUUAAUAAACAUGAUUUGAUUAAAAAAAUAAUUGGACAGUAUUUAUUCCUCUUGUUAAUCUACCAUUUCUCUUUCAUACAUUAUAUUCAUUGUUAGCUUUCAGGGCUCUGUGAUGGACUGGUGACCUGUCCAGGGUGAACCCCGCCUCUCAUCUGAUGACUGCUGGAGAUGGGCACCACCAGCCCCAAUCACCACCCUGCAAGGAUCAGCAUGUUCAGAUCAUGGAUGGAAAGAUUUUAAGGCAUCCGGUCCCAAUCAUUAUCAGUUCUAAUGAUGCCACAUACAUAGUGAAUCCACAACCUCUUAAAAUUGUUUCUGUGAAGUGCAGUGGUCCAGUGAAUGGGAAUGUUCUGUCGUUGAUCCUCACUGUUAUCAAGGCUCUCUCUACUUUUAAUUCAACAUUAUGCGAGUAAAAAUGGCUAAUUUGGACAGCGUCUGCUAUCUUCACCUUCUUGGUUGUUCUUCGUUUUAUGGUGCGUUUAAAAAAAAGCUGAAAGUGUGCC